rnacentral:ncRNA from 1 species
UCCUGACAGUUUUUAACUGACACCCCACGACAGGAGAUUGACAUG